UGCCCUACCUCAGUUAAAGUUAGUGUUGAAGUGAAUCUUCUUAGAAUCGUUAUGAUUUGAAAUGGAUGUAACGAAAACGCGCCUACCUUCCUACGACUUU